UACGUAGGGGGCAAGCGUUGUCCGGAAUCAUUGGGCGUAAAGCGCGUGUAGGCGGUCCGAUAAGUCGGCUGUGAAAGUCAGGGGCUCAACCCCUGAAUGCCGGCCGAUACUGUCGGGCUAGAGUCCGGAAGAGGCGAGUGGAAUUCCCGGUGUAGCGGUGAAAUGCGCAGAUAUCAGGAAGAACACCCGUGGCGAAGGCGGCUCUCUGGGACGGUACUGACGCUGAGACGCGAAAGCGUGGGGAGCGAACAGG
rnacentral:rRNA from 1 species